CCCCUCAUAGCUCAGUUGGUAAAGAAUCUGCCUGCAAUGCAGGAGACCCAGGUUCAGUUCCUGGGUUGGGA
rnacentral:tRNA from 1 species